GGCCAUAGCUAAGUAGGAAGGACGCAGGGCAAUUUCCUUGUUGCCCUGCGUCCUUCCUACUUAGCUAUGGCC
rnacentral:pre_miRNA from 1 species